CGGCAUCUCCUUUGCCUUCGGCACCUCCGUGCCUAGCUCCAUUGUCUUGCAACAUGUAAGUCUUAUGCCUUCGGCACCCUCAUGCCUAGGCCCAUCACCUUGCUACAUGCAAUUUUUAUGCCUUCGGCAUCCCCUUUGCCUUAGGCACCCCCAUGCCUAGCCACAUUGCCUUGCAACAUGCAAGCUUUGUGUCGCCUUCGGCAUCCCCUUUGCUUUCGGCACCCCCGUGCCUAGCCACAUUGCCUUGCAACAUACAAGCUUUGUGUCACCUUCGGCACCUUUGUGCCUCGGUACAUUACCUUGCAACAUGAAAGCUUUGAGCCUUCGGCACCCCGUGCCCUUCGACAUUUUAUCUUGUGACAUGCAAGCUUUGUGCCUUUGGCACCCUCUUGCCAAGCCACAUCAUCUUGCGACAUGCAAGCUUUGUGUCACCUUCGGCACCCUCAUGCCUAGCCACAUCUUGUGUUGCCUUCGGCACCCUCGUGCCUAGCCACUUCACCCCGCGACAUGCAACUUUGUGCCUUCGGCAACCUUUUAACCUUCGGCACCUUAGUGCCAAGUUUUCUCGUUCCAAUGUCCUUCUUACUCGGGGACUUAGGGGACUAUGGGCAGUGCACUAUACAACUUGGAAGAUGAACUACCCCAACCAAGAAGUACCUUCUUACUCGAGAACUUGGGGGACUACUGUUUGUACCAUAACUGACCGAGCAACUAGCUAGGCUAGAUCAUUCGAGUGCCAUGCUUUGAGAGGUCAUCACCUUAGCCAAAGAAGCAUCACCACAAAUCACAACUCUAAGCAAAGCAAGAGGAGUCCCACAUCGGAAAACUACAAGAGAUGGAGACUCCCCCUCACCUAUAAAAGAAGACUGCUCUUUCCUUAGAAGGGGAUCCGGGUCUUGGAUCUAGACCCUUAGGCCUUGGACUCUCUCUUCUGGAUCCAUCUCUGGACUGGGCUUCUCACUUGUUAUCUUUAGAUUUGGGUCUAAUCCCCUUGUACAAAUGUAAACAAACAUUAUCAUAAUGAGAACACCCUUCUCCGUGGAUGUAGCUCAUCAUUCGGGUGAACCACGUAUAUCUUGUCUUUUAUAUGUUUAUCGUUUACCCAAAUCCUCACACACUUUGUGAAGGUCCUUACCUUCAUCCAUCAUCCAUCACACCUCAUCACUAAGUUGGACUCAACCUUGGCCUAACCAUUUUGAGCAUCAACAAUAUUAUUCACCGGUUUACCCCAUCAUCGUCUUCCAACGUUAACCACAUAUAGAAGCAUACCCACAUGGUUGGAAAGCUUGGGCUAUAUAGACGAGAUUAGCCCAUGCCAAACAAAUUUCAAAAUGGGUUUUGGCCUAUAAAUCCUCUGCAGUUCAGUACCGCCCCAUUCUUCUUAACUUCAACUCUCAUUCUUCUGUUGUCAACUUUUCUUUCUUGUAAAAUUACAUUUGGUUCAGAUCUUCCACUCUCUCGGAGCAAGCAGUACCCAAAUGUCAGACCUGAUUAGACGUCGUAGGGCGGUGACGACCACGCAGAGUUCUGAGCCCCCGACUCAGCCGACAUCUGCUGCCACUGCUCCAGCAUCUGCUGCCACUGCACCAGCAUUGAUGGACCAGUUGGCAGUUGGACCUGCGGGGUCUCAGGCGCCUGCCUCAUCAGCGUCAUCAGUGGCGCAGCCUGUUAGCGCCAGGCGGCGUCAUCGGCCCGCCAGCACCACCGACACCACAUCCACUGAUGCGUCGGGGUCACAGCCAGCCAAGAAGAACACCCGAGGGCCGUGUCGGCAGUUGAAGA